rnacentral:tRNA from 3 species
GUUUCUAUAGUUGAAUUACAACGGUGGUUUUUCAUAUCAUUAGUUUCGGUUAAAGUCCGGGUAGAAAUU